rnacentral:lncRNA from 1 species
GCCUGAAAAUGCUGUGUUACAUACUGCCUUCAAAACUGAUGAGCAGGGAACAAACCCCAUAAAUGCAGUGAGUGUGACACAGCCUUUGUGACCCGAGGGGAACUUGCACGACACAGGAGGUACAAGCACAAUUUGGAGAAGCCUUUCAAGUGCACAAUAUGUGAAUACUCCAGUGUGGAAUAAGGAGCUAUUCAGCAUUCAUUGCUGUUACAGAACUCACA